rnacentral:rRNA from 1 species
UACGUAGGCAGCGAGCGUUGUUCGGAAUUACUGGGCGUAAAGGGCUCGUAGGUGGCCAACUAAGUCAGACGUGAAAUCCCUCGGCUUAACCGGGGAACUGCGUCUGAUACUGGAUGGCUUGAGUUUGGGAGAGGGAUGCGGAAUUCCAGGUGUAGCGGUGAAAUGCGUAGAUAUCUGGAGGAACACCGGUGGCGAAGGCGGCAUCCUGGACCAAUACUGACACUGAGGAGCGAAAGCCAGGGGAGCAAACGGG